rfam:Callithrix jacchus chromosome 10, whole genome shotgun sequence
UAGGUCAAAGGAUGAUGACUGGCAGCGUGUGAAUCAAGGGCCAUGAAACUAUGUGUCUGGAAUGCUGAGGUCCAA